CGGCGACGUGCCCUUGCGCAAUGCUUGUAACACAGAGUUCUUCAUUAAGCAACUUCUGCUGUAGAAGUUAUCUGACUACAUCAGUUAAGUUUACAAAAGCCACUACAGGCAGUGCCACGCAGAAGGACAGCUGGGGUCCUGCCUGCCUGUGGACAGGAAGUCCUGCUUCCCAAAAAAGCUGAGCUCCAGAGGGGUUGGUGCCUUGAAGAAGUGAGAUGCCAGCUCAGCCUGCACCCAGCAGCUGCUUCUGAUGUGAUUUGAUACAAGCUGGGAGUUGCUCUGAGCCUGGUUUUGUGCAAGAGAGAAAUGCUACCAGGAUCCAUUUCCUUUUCAUUACCUGAGCUUUGUGAAAGCAGUGUGGAGACCAAGGCAAGAGGAGUGAGAGGAGUCUCCAACCAGGAAGCAGAUUCGUCUGGAAACCAAGCUGAACCUAAUUACCUGUCCCAGUCUGGAAGACCUGAUGAAGAAAAAACAUUUAUCAUUUUCACUCACAGAGUUUCCCCUUUACCUGGCUCUGUAGAAACACAAAUGUAAGAAGGUGUUUCUCCUCCUGUCCAGGAAUUUACUGUGAAUCAUACCUGGCUUCAUGACGUUGAGAGACUCCAGGUUGCUCCAGGAGGACUCAGGCUCAUGCCUGCCCAUGCUGAGUGGAGUGGCCGUGUGGAUCAGGAGCUUGCUGAGCCUCUAGAGGGGAAAGGGCAACUGAGGGAUUUAGGUGAGACAUCACAGGUCUGGCACAGCAUUGCCUCUUAUUUGAAACAUGUUGGCUCACAUUUGUUUGUUUGGGGGUAUUUUUACUCUGUGUUUGAUCUUUUUAGUUUGCCCUGGGUUGGGAGCAGCAGCAAUGUAUCCCCCUGUUACGCAGAGAUGUUCUUCCUUUGGCUUUUGUAGUUGAUUCAUGCUCAUUGCUCUGCCAGAGCUGUAGUGAGCAAAACUUUUAUUGCCCAGGCAUGUGAUUGCCAUGCAGUGGGAUCUGUGUUACUGCAGGACGUGGGGCUGAUUAGAAAAUCUGUCUAACAGCAAGGGAACAGAGUUCCUUGCUAAUGCUACCUUAUCCUUUAAACUCCUGUUCAGCAUGGGAGGAAAACAGAGGCUACACUAGGUUUAAAAUAAAUGUUCCAUUUAUAACUGGUGUUAAAUAAACUGUUGAU